rnacentral:rRNA from 1 species
AGAGUUUGAUCAUGGCUCAGGACGAACGCUGGCGGCGCGCCUAACACAUGCAAGUCGAACGAGAGAGAAGGAGCUUGCUUCUUCGAUCGAGUGGCGAACGGGUGAGUAACGCGUGAGGAACCUGCCUCAAAGAGGGGGACAACAGUUGGAAACGACUGCUAAUACCGCAUAAGCCCACGGGUCGGCAUCGAUCUGAGGGACAAGGAGCAAUCCGCUUUGAGAUGGCCUCGCGUCCGAUUAGCUAGUUGGUGAGGUAACGGCCCACCAAGGCGACGAUCGGUAGCCGGACUGAGAGGUUGAACGGCCACAUUGGGACUGAGACACGGUCCAAACUCCUACGGGAGGCAGCA